rnacentral:miRNA from 15 species
AGAUCCUAAGACGUAUUUAG